AUAAUGUCCUCUGACAUGACUUUGGUCGACCGACCGGGUAACUCCGGCUGGCCGGCUCAGAGUUUCAACCCAUUGUGAACUAAAAACCACAUUCGCUUCGGCAGCAGACUGGGUCACCAGCCGUUAGCCUGCCGGCAGCAUAAUUCAAACUUGUAACCAAAACCAUGUCUGAAACCAUUCUGAUUUGAAUGAAAAUU
rnacentral:misc_RNA from 1 species